UUUUAAGACAACACAAGGAAGCUUACAUUCUCUCUUGUUUUUUGCUUUCCACCACGUGAGAAUACAAGAAGAAGAUGGCCAGCUGCAAGGUAGGAAGGGGGAGCCCUCAUUAGACACCAGAUCUGCUGGUACUUUUAUCUUGGACUUCUCAGCCUCCAGAAUUUUGACAAAAAAAUAUAUAUAUAUAUAAAUAAUAAAUCUCUGUUGUUCACACCACCUGGAAUAUGGUAUUUUUGUUUUGGCAACCCAAGCAGACUAAGACAGGAAUGUACUUCAAUUUACUCAUCUGUAAAAUGUGUGGAGUGGACAAAGUCAUAAUUUUACCUCCAAUUUCAAGGUUCUGAAGAUCUAGGAAGGUUAAAGUUCUUGAAAGUUGUUGUAAUUUUGGCUCUGACACCAGGAUAACUAAGCGUCAGAUCUGUUCAAUCAGAAAUAACUAUUACAUGAGUAAUAUCAGAAAAGUGUACAUCGUUAAGUGGCUGAUUAACUAAAAUGCAUUUCUGUAAAGUUCUGUACCAAAAUGUUACUGUAAGGAAACCAACACCUCCAUUCUAUCCCUACACCUGAGUUUGUGUCCUAGUGAAAGAUACAGAUCUUUGGCAAUGCAUCAUCUAACUAAGAAGUGGUUUUGAUUUUUGUUUAGGGAUAUACAAUAGGUUUCAGUCCCAUUCUGACAUAACAGUAUUAGAAUACUGAACAUGUAGUCAAUACAUGGCCCCUGAGGUGGUGGAAGUCUUCGUGGACCAGGCCACGUUCUACAAUAAGCAUUGUGACCUGGGGAGCCUGGGCAUGGUCUUCUACAUCAUGCUGAGUGGCUACCUGCCCUUCGUGGGUCACUGCGGGGCCAACUGUGGCUGGGACCGGGGUGAGGUCUGCAGGGUGUGCCAGAAAAAGCUGUUUGAAAGCAUCCAGGAAGGUAUUGUGUGGGUGGCACAGAUCUGGGCAGUUAGAUGGAGCUCUAUGCAUGAGAUGAAGCCACACUGGCGUGAAGCCUCGCUGCCCUGUUUGAGUGAGGCAGUCCCUGCUGCCCGAAUGCGUGAAGGUACAGCCAUUCAGGGAAAUGCUGCAAAGAAUUUCUCACCAGCAGAUGCUUUCCUUGUAGCAGAGGCUGCUUUGGGGGUGAAAGUGAAAUGAGACCACCCAGGCUGUCUGAUAGUGAAGUCUGCAUCCUUGGCUUGAUCAGGCCUCACUUUUGGCUCCAUUUAAUAAAUAUCCUACUUAUUGAGCAUCUAUCACAUAUUGGGUUGGGCAAUUGGGACAAAAUAGGAGUGAGAACCAGUUUCUGCCAAUGGAAAUUUUACAAUCUGGUGCAAAAUUGAGCCAUACCAAUUUACGGAGACAAACAUAAAAAAGGAUGCCUAACACCACACCUGG
ensembl:lincRNA